UAAAAUUUAUAAAAUUAGGUAGUAAAGAAAUUUCUGAAACCUAAAGAAUUUGGCGGUAUUUUAAAUAAUUGGAGGAACCUGUUGUUUAAUUGACAAUCCACAGCAUAUCUCACCUAAAUUUUAUUUGUAUAUCGUCGUUUUGAUAAUAUUUAAAAAUAAUAAUCAAUUUUAAUAAAUUUCUUAAAUUCAGAUCAAGGUGCAGUAUAUUUAGGUUAUAAUGGGUUACAAUAUAUUUAUAUAUAAUGAAUAUAAAAUUGAAAUUAUAUUGAAAGUGGAUUCAAAAGUAAAAUUAAACUAAAAAGUUAAUUUGAUUAAUAAUUUAAAAUAUGC
rnacentral:rRNA from 1 species